UACGUAGGGUCCGAGCGUUGUCCGGAAUUAUUGGGCGUAAAGGGCUCGUAGGCGGUCCGUCACGUCGGGAGUGAAAACUCAGGGCUCAACCCUGAGCGUGCUUCCGAUACGGGCGGACUAGAGGUAUGCAGGGGAGAACGGAAUUCCUGGUGUAGCGGUGGAAUGCGCAGAUAUCAGGAGGAACACCGGUGGCGAAGGCGGUUCUCUGGGACGGUACUGACGCUGAGACGCGAAAGCGUGGGGAGCGAACAGG
rnacentral:rRNA from 1 species